rnacentral:rRNA from 1 species
AGGCACCCNGCGGUUGUAACCUGAUUGAAUACUCAGCUNACUUGAGAAUGCANUGGUACUGCCAGUCUGAAUCACNGAGGGGAAACCGGAAUUCCAAGUGUAGGGUGGAAUCUGUAGAUAUUUGGAAGAACACCGGUGGCGAAGGCGGGUUUCUGGCCGAUGAUUGACGCUGAGGUGCGAAGGUGUGGGGAGCAAACAGGAUUAGAUACCCUGGUAGUCCACACAGUAAAC